rnacentral:lncRNA from 10 species
GUCCAACAUCCGUCCUCUCUCAACUGUUUCCUCCCUAACGUGGGGAUCAGAACCAAUCGCAGUGCCUGCCACGUUGCCAGCCCCUCUGGGGAGAAAUUGCCCUCUCUGAAGCCCCCGCUGAAGCGAGCCCUCUACAGACCAAAGGACCCAGCCACUCUGGCACCCGCUGACCCACCAGGGGGCCACCCAAGCCACAGCGCAUGAAACAGACUCUUAGUCUCCAGAGCUUGAGUGUGAAAUAAUGGAGAAAUUGUCCACAUAAAAUCAGGGUGGGAUCAGAAGCCAGGAGGUGGAGUUGGAGCCUCAAUAAGCACAGUUGGGAAGAAGCAGAAGCCGCAAAGAAGUUGAGCUGCUAAAUAGAAAAAAAGAUCAGCUGAGUGGAGGUUCAGAGCUCAUGCCAGACGCUGUGGAAGGAUUGUUUUUUGACUCUCUAAUACUGUGGAAGAAAAAGAGAUCUUCCAGAUAUCAGAGUUCUCCUGACAGCUGAAGAAGUGAUGGAUGAGCUGGGGUCUCAAUUCAUCAGAACAUCAAGGUAGGAGGCUGGUGCCUGCCACUCACUCUUCUCACCUGAGUCGUUCCGACGUGUAAGAUCACGCUCCUAUUUGGAAGCAGAAAACACUUGUCAAAGCUGGAUGCACAGGUCCAUUCAUCCAAAAGUGGUAUGAAAGGGUGCAGAUGGAAUGGUGAAUUGGGCAGUUUGCUCAAGGUGAACUUGAACAGGAAACAAAAGAGGCUGUAGACAGGUGCACAUGAAAAUCGAAGUCUCAUUCUUGGUUUUCUUCCCUGUACUUAGGAGGUCUAUGGUGGCA